GUCUGUGUGAGCUGUAAUACACAGUCUGGCCUGCCCCCUGAAUUUUAAAGGGCCGCGGUAUUUGAACCGUGCUAAGGUAGCAUAAUAAAUAGUCUUUUAAUUGAGGUCUAGUAUGAAUGGUCGGACAGGAAGUAAGCUGUCUUGAUUAUAAAAUUUGAAUUUUACUUUUAAGUGAAAAGGCUUAAAUUGUGUGGUGGGACGAUAAGACCCUAUAAAGCUUUACAUUUUGUUUGUAAGUUGAAAAAAUUAUGGUUUUUUGUUCUUAUUAUAUAAAGUGUUUCGUUGGGGCGACGAGAAUAUAAAAUAGUAACUGUUUUUGUAUAAAAAUAUGAUUUUAUAGGAGAGUUGAUCCUUUAUAGAGAUUAUGAGAAUUAAGUUACUUUAGGGAUAACAGCGUAAUUUUUUUUGAGAGUUCAUAUCGACAAGAAUAGUUGCGACCUCGAUGUUGAAUUAAGAUUUCUCCAAGGUGUAGCAGUUUUGGGGGAGGUCUGUUCGACCUUUAAAAUCUU
rnacentral:rRNA from 1 species